UACAGAGACCUCAAGCGUUAUCCGGAAUCAUUGGGCGUAAAGCGUACCGAUAGGUCGUUUAUAAAGUCUUGGGUAAAAGCCGGAAGCUCAACUUCCGCGUUUGCUUAAGAUACUUAUAGACUAGAGGGGCAAAGAGGUGCUUGGAACCAACGGUGUAGUAGUGAAAUGCGUUGAUAUCGUUGGGAACACCGAAAGCGAAGGCAGAGCACUGGGUGCCACCUGACACUGCUAGGACGAAAGCGUGGGGAGCGAAUGGG
rnacentral:rRNA from 1 species